rnacentral:rRNA from 1 species
AUGCUCGGCUUCGUCUCCUCCGCCCGCCGGCCGCACCUCAUCUCCUCCCGUGCGCCUCCAUCAUGCAACCAGCCGUGCCUCCCCGCCGGCGACGAGCAGCAGCACCGGCAGGACUCCCCUGCCUCACCUGAAGCUGUCGGCUUCCUCCGCGCCCUCGCACCCUGCCGGACCCCGUGCUCGACCUCGGCUUCCCGUGCCUGCGCCAUCGUGCCUCGUCGUUGCCGCCUCUCCGUUCACACCGCCGCGCCCAGCUCCCCUGCUCGCCAGCGCCAAGUCCCUGUCAUCGCUGCUCUGCUCCCAGAGGAUGCUCGCUCGUCCCAGUCGCAUUGA